rnacentral:pre_miRNA from 1 species
UUAACUCAAUUUUGUAUGGAGUUGGAACGUUUGCCUACGUUUGCCGCUAGGGGCGCUGUUUCAACUGCAUACGUAGUUGAGUUA